UACGAAGGGGGCUAGCGUUGCUCGGAAUUACUGGGCGUAAAGGGAGCGUAGGCGGAUAGUUUAGUCAGAGGUGAAAGCCCAGGGCUCAACCUUGGAAUUGCCUUUGAUACUGGCUAUCUUGAGUACGGAAGAGGUAUGUGGAACUCCGAGUGUAGAGGUGAAAUUCGUAGAUAUUCGGAAGAACACCAGUGGCGAAGGCGACAUACUGGUCCGUUACUGACGCUGAGGCACGAAAGCGUGGGGAGCAAACAGG
rnacentral:rRNA from 1 species